CAGAUCGCUAUCGUUUCCUACGGUAAAGAAAAACCAGCAGUACUGGGUCAUGACGAAUCAGCGUACGCUAAAAACCGUCGUGCCGUACUGGUUUACUAAGAGAGUCAUAUGAUUAGUAGCUACAGAACUCAUCUGUU
rnacentral:sRNA from 1 species